rnacentral:rRNA from 1 species
GACGAACGCGUGGCGGCGUGCUUAACACAUGCAAGUCGAACGAUGAAGUCCGUUUCGGGGUGGAUUAGUGGCGAACGGGUGAGUAACACGUGGGCAAUCUGCCCUGUACUUUGGGAUAAGCCUUGGAAACGGGGUCUAAUACCGGAUAUCACUUACCUCCGCAGUUGGGGGUUUNUUGAAAGUUCUGGCGGUACAGGAUGAGCCCGCGGCCUAUCAGCUUGUUGGUGGGGUAGUGGCCUACCAAGGCGACGACGGGUAGCCGGCCUGAGA